rnacentral:rRNA from 1 species
AUUGAACGCUGGCGGCAGGCCUAACACAUGCAAGUCGAGCGGAGUGGCGAACGGGUGAGUAACACGUGGGUGAGCUGCCCUGCACUUCGGGAUAAGACUGGGAAACUGGGUCUAAUACCGGAUAGUGUGGGAUGGGCCCGCGGACUAUAAGCUUGUUGGUGGGGUAAUGGCCUACCAAGGUGGCGACGGGUAGCCGGCCUGGGAGGGUGGACGGCCACAUUGGGACUGAGCCACGGCCCAGACUCCUACCGGAGGCAGCAGUUGGGAAUAUGGCACAAUGGGCGGAAGCCUGAUGCAGCGACGCCUCGUGGGGGAUGACGGCUUUCGGGUUGUAAACCUCUUUCGCUAUCGACGGGGUAGGUGGAGAAGAAGCGCCGGCUAACUACGUGCCAGCAGCCGCGGUAAUUC